rnacentral:rRNA from 1 species
CCUACGGGCGGCUGCAGUGAGGAAUAUUGGUCAAUGGACGAGAGUCUGAACCAGCCAAGUAGCGUGAAGGAUGACUGCCCUAUGGGUUGUAAACUUCUUUUAUAAAGGAAUAAAACGAGGCACGUGUGCCUUUUUGCAUGUACUUUAUGAAUAAGGAUCGGCUAACUCCGUGACAGCAGCCGCGGUAAUACGGAGGAUCCGAGCGUUAUCCGGAUUUAUUGGGUUUAAAGGGAGCGUAGAUGGGUUGUUAAGUCAGUUGUGAAAGUUUGCGGCUCAACCGUAAAAUUGCAAUUGAUACUGGCAGUCUUGAGUACAGUUGAGGUAGGCGGAAUUCGUGGUGUAGCGGUGAAAUGCUUAGAUAUCACGAAGAACCCCGAUUGCGAAGGCAGCUUACCAAACUGUGACUGACAUUGAUGCUCGAAAGUGUGGGUAUCAAACAGGAUUAGAUACCCCGGUAGUC